rnacentral:rRNA from 1 species
UGGGGAAUAUUGGACAAUGGGCGCAAGCCUGAUCCAGCCAUGCCGCGUGAGUGACGAAGGCCUUAGGGUUGUAAAGCUCUUUUGGCGGGGAAGAUAAUGACGGUACCCGCAGAAUAAGCUCCGGCUAACUUCGUGCCAGCAGCCGCGGUAAUACGAAGGGAGCUAGCGUUGUUCGGAAUCACUGGGCGUAAAGCGCACGUAGGUGGGCAGUUAAGUCAGGGGUGAAAGCCCGAGGCUCAACCUCGGAAUUGCCUCUGAUACUGGCUGUCUAGAGUCCGAGAGAGGUGGGUGGAAUUCCUAGUGUAGAGGUGAAAUUCGUAGAUAUUAGGAAGAACACCGGUGGCGAAGGCGGCCCACUGGCUCGGUACUGACACUGAGGUGCGAAAGCGUGGGGAGCAAACAGGAUUAGAUACCCUCGUAGUCCCUGAGCGGGCUGGCAAGGCGCAU